CGGCAGCGCGGGAGCAAUCCUGGCGGCGAGUGGCGAACGGGUGAGUAAUACAUCGGAACGUGCCCAAUCGUGGGGGAUAACGCAGCGAAAGCUGUGCUAAUACCGCAUACGAUCUACGGAUGAAAGCAGGGGAUCGCAAGACCUUGCGCGAAUGGAGCGGCCGAUGGCAGAUUAGGUAGUUGGUGAGGUAAAGGCUCACCAAGCCUUCGAUCUGUAGCUGGUCUGAGAGGACGACCAGCCACACUGGGACUGAGACACGGCCCAGACUCCUACGGGAGGCAGCAGUGGGGAAUUUUGGACAAUGGGCGAAAGCCUGAUCCAGCCAUGCCGCGUGCAGGAUGAAGGCCUUCGGGUUGUAAACUGCUUUUGUACGGAACGAAACGGUCUUUUCUAAUACAGAAGGCUAAUGACGGUACCGUAAGAAUAAGCACCGGCUAACUACGUGCCAGCAGCCGCGGUAAUACGUAGGGUGCAAGCGUUAAUCGGAAUUACUGGGCGUAAAGCGUGCGCAGGCGGUUAUGUAAGACAGUUGUGAAAUCCCCGGGCUCACCUGGGAACUGCAUCUGUGACUGGCGGGCUAGAGUAUGGCAGAGGGGGGUAGAAUUCCACGUGUA
rnacentral:rRNA from 1 species